GUUAUUUGUCAUCCUUAUAUUUAAAUGAGGGCUCCAAAACAGUAUCAUCUGAUUGGACAAACCUAAAAUGUUGUAGCUAGGGGACACCAGUUCUUUUUUCUUAUUGGACAGUAUCGCAACCAAUCCGAAAGUGCGUUGACUGAGCCGGCUCAGGUGUCUCAUCUUUGUCUGAACCCUUUGUUUUAACUAGGAAGAUUUAGCUUCUCUGGCAGUUGUGGAUGUGGCUGAAGGGACAAUGCUGCAGGAUCCGAUUCUCGUUGAGUCAAAUCACUGGCCAUUUGUUUCUCAUUAAGAACGAGGGAGAAGCUUAUUGCCUGCUUAGUUGGAGGAGGAGAUGACAGCUUCCUACUGCCAUUUAUUUUACCUCGUGUCCCUCCAGGGGAAACAAAAGCAAAACCACAUUACUAUGACAGUCCUUGAGCGAAGUUCAGCAGUUCACGGGAAAUCAGAAAACAUACUAAUGUAGUUUCACUGGGAGUGUGUGGCAGGGUAGAUUUUCUUCUGGAGAAGGCAUUCUCGUGACGUCCAUAAAGCCAGAAGCUGGAGCUAAAGCUGGUGUAACCUAAUCGAUGGGUACCAUAUUUACAGGACGAAGCAGCAUCACUUGGAGAGCUGGCUUUAGAAAAGCCGACCGCUAACUCCCUGCCUCAUACACACUGAGUCAUGAUCUGCAUAUUACAGUUGAGGAAUCCCGGUCUGAAGCGAAUUAGCUGCCGUGCCUGGGGUAUGGUAGUGCCAUCAGAGCCGAAGACGGAAGACACGGGGAAAGCCGUCAGAAGCAAACAUGGAGCCGGUCUUUGUUGUCCGCACAGGGUCUCCUCUAGGCCCGAUAUGACCAUGGGUCAUUAUGGAGUAGUCAUGCUGAAGGAUGAGCGACUCUAGAUUUACAGUAACGGUAAUGGGACUGUUAAUACCCCCUCAUAGGAAGGAGGAUAAUUGCACCCCUGCUGCAAUGGUCUUGGGGUUUCUACUGGAGUAAACAGGGAGGCGGGAACACCCAUGACGCAGCUUUCCCACGCUGAGGUGGAACCUUUUGAUAACUGCGGAUUCACCCGUGAUCCUCUAAGUAACCCCUUCCCAAGACCUGUCAGUAAUUCCAAUAAACUUAUUGGCUCACCAA